GUUCUCGCUGCAGUCAACAACCUCCCCUCUCCAAAAUGGUUUCUCGCGUCGUGUUCGCCUGCUUGGUCGUAAUUCUGCUGGCUGCCUGCGCCUUGGCCUUCCCUGACCCAAGCGGAGGAUACGGACUCCGCACCUAUGGAUACGGACACGGGCACGGACACGGGCUCGGACACAUCGGGCACGGAUACGGACAUGGGUAUGGCGGCCACCGUGUGAUUUUAACCCAUGGCGGUUAUGGCGGUGGAUACGGAUACAGGCCGGCGUACUGGUGAACGGCGACAUGUUCCAGUUAAACGCUGUCCAUGGAUUCUGCCUCCAGUAACAAUGGGUAAAGCGACUUUAACAAAAUAAUGAAACGAGAAUCAAACAACCAACUCUUUCUCUUGAUUUAAAUUGUUUUCAAGUUUGUCUAGCUGGGCUCUGUCUUGUUUACAAUAAAGACUUUUUUUCAA